AGGGGAAGACCGGCCCUCGGCGCGACGGGCGCCCGAAAAAAGGACCGGGGCGUUUCCCGCCUCGGUCCCCGGUCUGGGAAGGCUCCGCGGUCGAGUCUCGCUCCCCGGCCCGAUCGAUCUGGCAACCCGCGCCCGGGCGGGGAGGGCCCUCUGCCCGGCCGA
rnacentral:rRNA from 1 species